GUUCUUGUAGUUAAAUGUUUAUAACGGCGGUUUUUCAGGUCGUAGGUCCUAGAGAGAAGCUAGGCAAGAACA
rnacentral:tRNA from 1 species